AUUUCAUUUUCUUUUCUUCCUUCCUUCACUCUGUUCCCCAAGGAAACAUAAAUAACUUGUUGGUUUUUCUCAUUAAAGAUUCUAUUGGACCGUGCCUGAUAUAUUAUUUGCGUGAGAUUUGAAGGUAGGGACGAUAAUGGAAGGAAAGAAUCAAGUUGGCUCGUCUUCUUCCUUCACUUCUGAGCUCUUUGGUUCUAAGGAUCAAUCCCCAUCUUCGUCUUCUGGGAUUUUAGGGUCUAUAUUUUCUCCAUCAUCUAAGGUGUUAGGGACUGGUUACCUGCCUCCUAGAGAGGGUGUAAAAACUGCCAGUGAGACAUGGAGCCCCAAGAGUGGGACUGCUGAUAGAAACAUCAAGGGAAAUGAGAAUGAAAGUCAGAGUACUUCAUAUAAGGAUAUGAGUUCCAUUUAUCAGGAACAAAGAGUUCAACCUUGCCACCUUAGUUCAUCAAUCUAUUACGGUGGACAGGACAUAUAUUCUCAUCCUCAGAAGACAGAGAAUGCUGGACUAAACCCUUUGUACAAGAAAGAUGGGGGAGAAGAUGAUUCAGGAAGUGCCCCUAGAGGAAACUGGUGGCAAGGGUCUCUUUAUUAUUAAUAGCAUACUUUCCAUCGAAUAAGCUCAUCAAGGUAAAUAGGAAGUCUUAGUGCAGGAUAAUUCUUCCUUGUAUUAUAUGGGAGAGUUAUACGGUAGCGAGAUAGUUGUGGGCGAGCUAGUUCAUUUCUCUGUCCAAACAGCAGAACCAUAACAUGAACCUCUAAUUGUGUUUGGUCUGGACCACGCAAUGUAUGGAGUUGACUGAUUGAUUCUCAGACUAAGUAAACGACUAAAAGCAAGCAGCUUUAGUAUGAUGAAGUCUGAGGGAGCAGAGUAAUCUGAAAGUUCAGCUUCUCUCCAGAUCUAUGUGUCCAGUUCCCUCUUGAUAGCUGCAAGCUACUGAUUCUGUGUACGUUAUGAGACACAAGAUUAGUGAUUUGAGAGUUAAGGGAUAAUUUGUGUAGGUUAUGAGACCCAAGAAGAUUCUUGUGCAUCGCAUUCUACACAGGGUAUUAGUACUUUUAAUAAGAUCAGGAGAAUGAUAGAGAAUAACUGAACGCCUUAAUUUGACAGGAUCAAGUUAUUUUUGACAAUUGUAACAAGUUUACUGAAUCGGUACGUGACAAGUAGAGGGAUUCAUGCAAGAAUGUUUAUGCGUGAUUGGAACAUCGUGACGAACUUGGUCUUGAAAAGUGGAUGCCCUAAUCCAAUUUCUCACUGA